rnacentral:rRNA from 1 species
AACGAACGCUGGCGGCAUGCCUAACACAUGCAAGUCGAACGAUGCUUUCGGGCAUAGUGGCGCACGGGUGCGUAACGCGUGGGAAUCUGCCCUUGGGUUCGGCAUAACAGUGAGAAAUUGCUGCUAAUACCGGAUGAUGUCUUCGGACCAAAGAUUUAUCGCCCAGGGAGGAGCCCGCGUAGGAUUAGCUAGUUGGUGGGGUAAUGGCCUACCAAGGCGACGAUCCUUAGCUGGUCUGAGAGGAUGAUCAGCCACACUGGGACUGAGACACGGCCCAGACUCCUACGGGAGGCAGCAGUGGGGAAUAUUGGAAAAUGGGCGCAAGCCUGAUCCAGCAAUGCCGCGUGAGUGAUGAAGGCCUUAGGGUUGUAAAGCUCUUUUACCCGGGAUGAUAAUGACAGUACCGGGAGAAUAAGCUCCGGCUAACUCCGUG